UGGUGAAAUGGUGUGUGUUUUUGUGUAUGUGUGUGUAUGUGUCCCCACCAGCAGGAAGGGGGUCUUCUGGCAGUGGUGAGUGAUUUCCGGCACCCACUGAAAGGAUAUUUGGUGUUUUAAUGAGGUUUUUGGGUGGUUUGUGGGGUGAAAUGGGUGUUUUUGUUCA